GCCGGGCAUGGUGGCGGGUGCCUGUAAUUCUAGCUACUUGGGAGGCUGAGGCAGGAGAAUUGCUUGAACCCAGGAAGCGGAGGUUGCAGUGAGCCGAGAUUAUGCCACUGCACUCCAGCCUGGGUGAAAGAGCGAGAUUCUGUCUCCA
ensembl:misc_RNA Metazoa_SRP Metazoan signal recognition particle RNA